GUCCGUUUUACGGGCAAAACACCUAGUUAUUUAUUAUUCAUCAUCGGAUCGGGUCACAACAUUCGUCACAUGCAGUUAUUUUUCAUUAUUUUAAAUAUAUAGCCAUAGGAUCAUCAUCACACGCUUAUAUUUUACUUUAAUUAUUAAAUCGCUCUCUACUUCUUUUUGGCGGAGGCGGCGUAGAUCGACUUGAUAAGCUUUUCAGCUACGCACCUGCUCCUCUUGUCGUUGCAGCAGCACUGAUGCUUAAAACCUCUAAUAGACCAGAGAAGAGAUUAAUGAGGAGGAGUACUCAAAGAGGUUUUGGAGGAAGUUGUGAUAUUGGAAGAAGCAUAAGUUCAGACACAAGUGUAGAGAGCAGAGAGACAAGCUGGAGAAUAUGGUUAUGGCACACAACAGUACUACUGUUUGUGGAGGAGAAAAAUAAGAGACAAUGAAGAAGAGAGUUGACUAAGACAGACUGCAAGCGGCUCCAGGAGUGUGUUUAGGAAUGAUCAACGCUAAUUUGAAGCUGAAACAGAGGAAGUACCCAAAGAGCUGGAUGUUUAAGAGUGAAGAUGAAGGGUAAGAAGAGGGCGUCUGCUGAGCCUAAGGAAGAGAAAUACAAAACAGUGGAGGUUAUGUCAAAAAAGGCUUCGAAUCCUGAAGAAAGACACUCAUGACAGUGCACACACCAGCACAAUGAUCUUGUGUUUGGGGAGAAAAUUACCAUUGGCUAGUCACACAACCUGUGUUUGACAGAAGAUUGUUGUUGAUAUUUAAGAAAAGGCAGAAUAAGAGGAGGGCCAAAUACAGCAAUAUGAUUUGUCAAAACAAGAAGAACAAGUUGAAAGGGCUGCUGAAGCGAGGGAAGCCAAUACGCUCUCAUGUCAUCUACAAGUGGCCAGUGCUUGCAAGGAAGUGGAUGUGUAAAUUCAAAAUAACAUAUACUAUAUAUUAUGUUCUUGUUGGGAUACAAAGAACCAUGUACUUUAAAACAAUGAAACAUGAAACUAGAGCAAAGCA